AAUGACAGUACUUGGUAAAGAAGCCCCGGCUAACUUCGUGCCAGCAGCCGCGGUAAUACGAAGGGGGCUAGCGUUGUUCGGAAUUACUGGGCGUAAAGCGCACGUAGGCGGAUUUUUAAGUCAGAUGUGAAAUCCCAAGGCUCAACCUUGGAACUGCAUUUGAAACUGGGAAUCUAGAGAUCAGGAGAGGUUAGUGGAAUACCGAGUGUAGAGGUGAAAUUCGUAGAUAUUCGGUGGAACACCAGUGGCGGAAGGCGACUAAACAGGACUGAUACUGACCCUUAAGUGCGAAAGUGUGGGGGAGCAACAAGGAUUAGAUACCCCGGGUAGUCCACACCCGUAAACGAUCAGAAGCUAGUUUUCCUGCAGGGCCUGCCCUGUACGGGGACGUCACCUAAAGCAUUUAAGCUCUUCCGCCUGGGGAAGUACGGGCUUCAAGGUUAAAACUUCAAAAAAAUUUGAAUGGGGGCCCUCCAAAAGCGGUGGAACCAGGUGGGUUUAAUUUCGAAAGCACCGCCGAAAAACUUUAACCUAC
rnacentral:rRNA from 1 species